rnacentral:tRNA from 1 species
GUGGUUGUAGCUCAGUUGGUUAGAGCACCGGAUUGUGGUUCCGGGUAGCGCGGGUUCAAGUCCCGUCAACCACC